CAAAGAAACAUUUAUAAGUCGCUCUGGAUAAGAGCGUCUGCUAAAUGACUAAAA
rfam:Salmo salar isolate Sally breed double haploid chromosome ssa05, whole genome shotgun sequence.